rnacentral:rRNA from 1 species
GAUGAACGCUGGCGGCGUGCCUAAUACAUGCAAGUCGAGCGAAUGGAUUAAGAGCGUGCUCUUAUGAAGUUAGCGGCGGACGGGUGAGUAACACGUGGGUAACCUGCCCAUAAGACUGGGAUAACUCCGGGAAACCGGGGCUAAUACCGGAUAACAUUUUGAACCGCAUGGUUCGAAAUUGAAAGGCGGCUUCGGCUGUCACUUAUGGAUGGACCCGCGUCGCAUUAGCUAGUUGGUGAGGUAACGGCUCACCAAGGCAACGAUGCGUAGCCGACCUGAGAGGGUGAUCGGCCACACUGGGACUGAGACACGGCCCAGACUCCUACGGGAGGCAGCAGUAGGGAAUCUUCCGCAAUGGACGAAAGUCUGACGGAGCAACGCCGCGUGAGUGAUGAAGGCUUUCGGGUCGUAAAACUCUGUUGUUAGGGAAGAACAAGUGCUAGUUGAAUAUGCUGGCACCUUGACGGUACCUAACCAGAAAGCCACGGCUAACUACGUGCCAGCCGCCGCCGUAA